GAUGGUGUAGCUUAGUGGGAGAGCAUUUGUCUAUCAUGUUCAAAGUCCUGGGUUUGAUCCCCAGCACCACCA
rnacentral:tRNA from 1 species